UCUCACCUUACGGCGGCAGUCCCGCUAGAGUCCCCGACUUUACCCGCUGGCAACUAACAGUAAGGGUUGCGCUCGUUAUGGGACUUAACCCGACACCUCACGGCACGAGCUGACGACAACCAUGCAGCACCUUGAAGAACGUCCGAAGAAAUCCGCCUUUCAGCAAACGCCGUUCCCCAUUUAAGCCCAGGUAAGGUUCCUCGCGUAUCAUCGAAUUAAACCACAUGUUCCUCCGCUUGUGCGGGCCCCCGUCAAUUCCUUUGAGUUUCAACCUUGCGAUCGUACUCCCCAGGUGGCUCACUUAUUGCUUUCACGCAGCCGCUUGCUGUCUAUCGCAAACAGCGGGUGAGCAUCGUUUACAGCGUGGACUAC
rnacentral:misc_RNA from 1 species